rnacentral:rRNA from 1 species
CAGCUCUCCGAGUGGUAGGGGUGAUUAUUGGGCUUAAAGCGUCCGUAGCCGGCCUAGCAAGUCUCCCGUUAAAUCCAGCAACCUAAUUGUUGGGCUGCGGGGGAUACUGUUAGGCUAGGGGGCGGGAGAGGCCGACGGUAUUCUCGGGGUAGGGGUGAAAUCUUAUAAUCCCGAGAGGACCACCAGUGGCGAAGGCUGUCGGCUAGCACGCGCCUGACGGUGAGGGACGAAAGCUGGGGGAGCGAACCGGAUUAGAUACCCGAGUAGUCC